GACGAACGCUGGCGGCGUGCUUAACACAUGCAAGUCGAACGGAAAGGCCCUGCUUUUGUGGGGUGCUCGAGUGGCGAACGGGUGAGUAACACGUGAGUAACCUGCCCUUGACUUUGGGAUAACUUCAGUAAACUGGGGCUAAUACCGGAUAGGAGCUCCUGCUGCAUGGUGGGGGUUGGAAAGUUUCGGCGGUUGGGGAUGGACUCGCGGCUUAUCAUCUUGUUGGUGGGGUAGUGGCUUACCAAGGCUUUGACGGGUAGCCGGCCUGAGAGGGUGACCGGCCACAUUGGGACUGAGAUACGGCCCAGACUCCUACGGGAGGCAGCAGUGGGGAAUAUUGCAAAAUGGGCGGAAGCCUGAUGCAGCAACGCCGCGUGCGGGAUGACGGCCUUCGGGUUGUAAACCGCUUUCGCCUGUGACGAAGCGUGAGUGACGGUAAUGGGUAAAGAAGCACCGGCUAACUACGUG
rnacentral:rRNA from 1 species